AAAGUGCGAUAAGUCAUGUGAAUUGCAGAUUGUGAAUCAUCGAAUCUUUGAACGCAAAUGGCGCUGGAGGGGCAUAAAACAUCCCUCAAGCAUGUCUGGCUGAGUGUCGGUAACAAUAUAUCAUUUGUAAUAUAACUACAAGUGUGAUUGGGAACGCCUCCUCCUUAAGGGGGGUGGGGACGGUCCUGAAGUAUUUAUGGAUGCAACGAAUACUAAAAAGUGUGACAGUGUGUAUGACGUGUGGUAUUUUAAAUAAUUCAUUGCGUCGAUAAGCACGACUAUACUCAAAAGUCAGUUUUCUUGCAUUCGGGUGUAACCAACAAACAAAUAUAUUUAAUAAUUAUCGAAAUCGACAUCAGCUCAGGCAAGAGUACCCGCUGAACUUAA
rnacentral:misc_RNA from 1 species